CAUACCAGAAGUAAUGCACCGGAUCCCAUCAGAACUCCGCAGUUAAGCGUGCUUGGGCGAGAGUAGUACUAAGAUGGGUGACCUCCUGGGAAGUCCUCGUGUUGCACCCC
rnacentral:rRNA from 1 species